GAUGAACGCUGGCGGCGUGCCUAAUACAUGCAAGUCGAGCGAACAGACGAGGAGCUUGCUCCUCUGACGUUAGCGGCGGACGGGUGAGUAACACGUGGAUAACCUACCUAUAAGACUGGGAUAACUUCGGGAAACCGGAGCUAAUACCGGAGAAUAUAUUGAACCGCAUGGUUCAAUAGUGAAAGACGGUUUUGCUGUCACUUAUAGAUGGAUCCCGGCCGCAUUAGCUAGUUGGUAAGGUAACGGCCUACGAAGGCAACGAUGCGUAGCCGACCUGUGUGAGUGAUCGGCCGCACUGGAAGUGGGACGCGGUCAAGGGUACUAAGGGAGGCAGCAGUAGGGUAUGUUCCGCAGUGGGGGAGAGCAUGACGGAGCAACGCCGAGUGAGUGAUGGAGGUGCUCGGAGCGUAAAGCUCGGUUAUGAGGGGAGAACAGCUGUGGAAGUAACUAUGCAGGGAUUGACGGUAAUUGGUCAGAAAGCCACGGCUAACUACGUG
rnacentral:rRNA from 1 species